AUUGAACGCUGGCGGCAUGCCUUACACGUGCAAGUCGAACGGCAGCACGGAGCUUGCUCUGGUGGCGAGUGGCGAACGGGUGAGUAAUAUAUCGGAACGUACCCAAGAGUGGGGGAUAACGUAGCGAAAGUUACGCUAAUACCGCAUACGAUCUAAGGAUGAAAGUGGGGGAUCGCAAGACCUCAUGCUCCUGGAGCGGCCGAUAUCUGAUUAGCUAGUUGGUGAGGUAAAGGCUCACCAAGGCAUCGAUCAGUAGCUGGUCUGAGAGGACGACCAGCCACACUGGAACUGAGACACGGUCCAGACUCCUACGGGAGGCAGCAGUGGGGAAUUUUGGACAAUGGGGGCAACCCUGAUCCAGCAAUGCCGCGUGAGUGAAGAAGGCCUUCGAGUUGUAAGGCUCUUUUGUCAGGGAAGAAACGGUGAAGGCUAAUAUCCUUUGCUAAUGACGGUACCUGAAGAAUAAGCACCGGCUAACUACGUGCCAGCCGCCGCCGUAAAAC
rnacentral:rRNA from 1 species